AUCGCUUCUCAGCCUUUUGGCUAAGAUCAAGUGUAGUUUCAAAGACUAAAUUUUUCUUUUUCUUUUUUUUUUUUAGUUUACAAACAAGUCUGUGUAUAUGAUUAGAAGGAUGCUUGAAAACUUCGCCUAUUUAAGUAAUCUGUCCUGAACCAU
rnacentral:snRNA from 1 species